CCGCAAUGGGCGAAAGCCUGACGGAGCAAGACCGCGUGGGGGAAGAAGGUCUGUGGAUUUGUAAACCCCUUUUUGACUGGGAAGAAGCCAGUGACGGUACCAGUCGAAUCAGCCUCGGCUAACUCCGUGCCAGCAGCCGCGGUAAUACGGAGGAGGCAAGCGUUAUCCGGAAUUAUUGGGCGUAAAGCGUCCGUAGGUGGUUUGACCAAGUCUUCUGUCAAAGCGUGGAGCUUAACUCCAUACAGGCAGAGGAAACUGGUGAGCUAGAGUGCGAUAGGGGCAAGGGGGAUUCCCAGUGUAGCGGUGAAAUGCGUAGAUAUUGGGAAGAACACCGGUGGCGAAAGCGCCUUGCUGGGUCUGCACUGACACUGAGGGACGAAAGCUAGGGGAGCGAAAGGGAUUAGAUACCCCUGUAGUCCUAGCUGUAAACGAUGGGUACUAGGCGUUGUCCGUAUCGACCCGGGCAGUGCCGUAGCUAACGCGUUAAGUACCCCGCCUGGGGAGUACGCUCGCAAGAGUG
rnacentral:rRNA from 1 species